UGGAUGUAAAAGUCGUAACAAGGUCUCCGUUGGUG
rnacentral:rRNA from 1 species